GCCCUGAUGUCGAAAUGGUAAACGAAGCGGUUUCAGAGACCGUCGCAGCAAUGCUUGAGGGUUCGAGUCCCUCUCAGGGCACCA
rnacentral:tRNA from 1 species